CCUACGGGGGGCAGCAGUAGGGAAUAUUGCUCAAUGGGGGAAACCCUGAAGCAGCAACGCCGAGUGGAGGAUGAAGGUUUUCGGAUUGUAAACUCCUUUUGGUAGAGAAGAGAAUGACGGUAUCUAAAGAAUAAGCACCGGCUAACUCCGUCCCAGCAGCCGCGGUAAUACGGAGGGUGCAAGCGUUACUCGGAACCACUGGGCGGAAAGAGCGCGUAGGCGGGAUAGCAAGUCAGAUGUGAAAUCCUAUGGCUUAACCAUAGAACUGCAUUUGAAACUGUUAUUCUAGAGUAUGGGAGAGGUAAGUGGAAUUCUUGGUGUAGGGGUAAAAUCCGUAGAGAUCAAGAGGAAUACUCAUUGCGAAGGCGACCUGCUAGAACAUAACUGACGCUGAUGCGCGAAAGCGUGGGGAGCAAACAGGAUUAGAUACCCCAGUAGUC
rnacentral:rRNA from 1 species